UUAGUGUGGAAGAAAGUUUGGAUCAUCUUGAGGAACUUGAACUUGACAUGGCAAAUAGUGGAAGAGAUCCUUGCAUUGUUGAUGUAUGAUUGCAAUUUGCUUCUUUGUUACUAGUGUUCAAUCAUGCCUUCUAGAGCUCGCUCACAAGUUUGGGAACAUUUUGUGAUGG